rnacentral:rRNA from 1 species
UACGUAGGGUGCGAGCGUUGUCCGGAAUUAUUGGGCGUAAAGAGCUCGUAGGCGGCUUGUCACGUCGAUUGUGAAAGCCCGAGGCUUAACCUCGGGUCUGCAGUCGAUACGGGCUAGCUAGAGUGUGGUAGGGGAGAUCGGAAUUCCUGGUGGUAGCGGUGAAAUGCGCAGAUAUCAGGAGGAACACCGGUGGCGAAGGCGGAUCUCUGGGCCAUUGACUGACGCUGGAGGAGCGAAAGCGUGGGGAGCGAACAGG